rnacentral:lncRNA from 10 species
AUCACUGGCAGGGCAUCUCAUCCCUUUUCUCUAAGCCUUUUUUACCUAAUGGGUGACUGAGUCUCUCUGAACUUCAGGUUGGUGUAAUCAAAUACAAUGUUGGAUGUGCAGUAUUAUUAAACAGAUUAUUAAAAGCAGAAAUGAAUUUUCCAGGGCUUUAGGCUUGCCCUCUACGCUUACCUUACUGUAUAGGAGCCAAAGUUUGCUUUUCUGGGACUGUGAUCAAGGGCCUAGAAUGGAGCCAGGAUGAGCCACAGUCCCCUUAACUUCUCCACCCCUCUAGGUGUAGAGAGCAGCAUUUGUACAUCAGAUGGCUUCAGUGGCUUCUUUCAUUACACAUUCAUGUGGAUUCCACCUUUGCCUUGUUCAUUAGUGGCAUCAGCCCCUUCAUAAUCUUCUUUGUGAGUGGUCAGCUCACUUAGCCCUUCAACAGCUUUGUUCCAGAUGACAUGGAUAUGGAUAAGAAUGAGGAACUAUUGGUGCCUUUGGCCAUGCUUCCUCAAUGAGCUAAGUGGAGAUUCACAGCAAGUACCAGGACCUCUGUUUUCUUGGCAGAAGGGUCAGGACUGACCUGUGGUUCACAUGGUGCAGGUGUCUCUGGAGGAAAUCUAUCAUGGCUCCUCCAAGUGCAUGAAGAUCAUAAAGUGGUGACCCAACCCUGAUGGGAAAACUGUUGGGAUCGAGAGGAUAUUGUCAUCCCGCAUGGCUUCCCUUAGCAGGGCAUUGCCUUGUCUGACAACACCUAUGCAGAUAUCACUUUGAGUUCAAAGGUAAACCCAUUCACACUUUUGUUGGAAUGGAACCCAAGUGUUCCAUGUUAACCUGAUCAGGCAAAAAGUCCCAGGGCUUGGAUUGGGUUGUGUGUGUUUGGGAUCCAUGAUUAAGUAUGAUGGGAACAUUCCUGUUCCUUUCCAUCUGCCUUAUUCGUUCUCCUUUUCAUCCCUUUUCCUUUUUUUCCCACUCAAGCACCUAUCAAGCUUUCUCUCACUCUCUCCCAUUUUUCUCCAGGUCUGUGUGGCUGCACCAUGAGUACUUCCACCAUGGAAGGGCAGGUGAUCCCUUUGUCUUGCAUGAAAUCAUCAAGAAGGUACCAUGGAAUGACUCUGUGAGGAGCAUUCCCCUGAGAAGAUUCCCACCUGGUCACCUUAGCAGAUUGAAGUAAAGGAUCCUGGAAGGUGGUGGGAACACAGCCCCUCUCACUUCCCUCCGUCUGCCUGGCCACAGCAAGCACCCAGCUAAGCUGAUUCCUUCCUUCCCACAGCCCAAGUUCCUGGGAUAUAUCAAUCCGCAACCCACAUUAUCACACAGAGAACCCCACUUUCCUAUUUGAAGAGACAGUGGUAAUUUAGAAAGGUAAAUGUCAUUGAUUACAAAAGGUGGAGGUCACCCUCUUCAGAGGUUGUGUUUGUGUGAGAAUUAAAGUUGCUGAAACUAGAUAGAAAUAUUUAUUUGAGCCAAAGUUUCUUCAGUGGAGGGACUGGAAGAGGUCUUUCUGGUGGACAAUGAAACGUACAGCCCCAAAGAUGAAGACGAGGUCCUGAGCUUCCUGCCACCCUUGGUGUGUCCUGGUGGCUCCUGGAUGGGAACACAGGCUUCCUGGUGGCUUCUGGGCAGGUGGGCACCUCAGCACAGUUGUUGAUCUUGGGAUUUCAGGAUUUUCCUGGCAUGUCUGUCUCUUUCUUUUAUCUUCCUAUUUUUAUCUAGAAAAUUCACCACUUGAUGUUUAAAACAAAGUACACACAUUACUUUAGUAAAAAAAUAAAUUAAAAUUAAUGUAAAACAUAAACAAACAAAACUCCCACAAGCAUUUAUCAUAGGUUUUAUUGUAAAAAUCAUCAAGUAAACCUAAAUAGGGAUUUGUUUAUUUAUUUUAGAGUCAGGGUCUUGCUAUGUUGACCAGACUGUUCUCUAACUUCUGGGCUCAAACUAUCCUCCCACCUCCACCUCCCAGAGUGUUGGGAUUACGGAUAUCAGCUACUGCACCCAGCCUAUAAUCCAGUUCUAAAAAUGGAUUUUGCCAGGCACAGUGGCUCAUGUCUUGUAAUCCCAGCACUUUGCGAGGCCAAGGUGGGUGGAUCACCUGAGGUCAGGAGUUUGAGACCAGCCUGGCCAAUAUGGCGAAACCCUGUCUCUACUAAAAAUACAAAAAUUAGCCAGGUGUGGUUGUGGGCACCUGUAAUCCUAGCUACUUGGGAGACUGAGGCAGGAGAAUUGCUUGAACCUGGGAGGCGGAGGUUGCAGUGAGCCGAGAUGGCGCUACUCUACUCCAGCCUGGGCGACAGAGUGAGAGUCUGCCUCCAAAAGAAAGGAUUUUAUGAUUUUGUGAGAUUUCCUAUUUCCGUGAGCUUAACAAGACUAGAUAUGUUGAAAUGUCCUCCCACUACAAAAUACCCAAAUAAUGGAUAAGUUAGAGUAAACACACUUUGAAUUUUGUUGCUAAGCUCAAAGGAGAAUAAGGAAAGUCCUAAAUUUUUUUAAAAGACAAAAACAAAUAAAAUAGAAAUGAAACUAGUAGGGUAAGCCUGCACAAUUAUUUGUUCCAUACUUGACCUGGGGGUAGAGGUGGGGCCAGCAACUUGUGGUAUUCCAGCAUCUUUUCAGGGACAGAAGUUCUUUUAGUUUUUGUUUUAUCUCAUUUAACCUGAUGUGUGUCUAUGAAAGUGCAAUGCUUCGAUUACUAAGGUUUUAUGACUAUUGUCAACAAAACAUUCUAUAAGUGUAAGGGGUAACUCUUUCUCUUAAAGGACAUCAUUCCACUGUACUGAGGCUCCCUGUUUCUUUUCUUUUUUUCUUUUUUUUUUUUGAGAUAGAGUCUCGCUCUGUCACCUAGGCUGGAGUGCAGUGGCUGGAUCUCAGUUCACUGCAAGCUCCACCUCCCGGGUUCACGCCAUUCUCCUGCCUCAGCCUCCCGAGUAGCUGGGACUACAGGCUCCCUGUUUCUUAUAUGCUUAGCGUAGAAGUUCUAGCAGCUGCCUGGCAUUAUUUUUUCUUGCAGAUAAAUAAGACCAUCUAAGUAAAUAAUGUAAUUAGGAUCAUAAUGGCACAUUUUGAUUGCUUUUAAU